rnacentral:rRNA from 1 species
UACGUAGGUGGCAAGCGUUGUCCGGAUUUACUGGGCGUAAAGAGCGCGCAGGCGGUCGUACAAGUCGCGUGUGAAAGCCCCCGGCUCAACUGGGGAGGGUCACGCGAUACUGUUCGACUCGAAGGCAGGAGAGGGAAGUGGAAUUCCCGGUGUAGUGGUGAAAUGCGUAGAUAUCGGGAGGAACACCAGUGGCGAAGGCGACUUCCUGGCCUGUUCUUGACGCUGAGGCGCGAAAGCUAGGGGAGCAAACGGGG